rnacentral:lncRNA from 1 species
CAGAACAUGGCAAAAUGAUGGGAUAGCUCAGCAGCUCGAGCACCUGCCCGGUCACACUUGGAGCUCUUGGAAGUUGGCCAGUGACAUCCAGCACCACAGAGUCCACUCUGGAGCGAACCUGGCACGUGAUUCUAA